rnacentral:lncRNA from 1 species
UUAAUUCUAAAGGUAAUGAUAAGUUAUUUUCUUCAAAACGUUUCUUCAUUUUCUGCUGUUUAAUGAUACAAGAUUGUAGAUUAUAAUUAGGAUUAUUAUCAAACACCAUUUUGUUGUUGGGUUGUACUGUAUUAUGUAAGCAAAUUUACAUCUUGGUGUGUUUUGAUUUGGAAGGGUGAACAAAAGUGAUAUUAAUUCUUCGGCGGUUUCAAAGCAUGAUAUAUACCAAGUGGUUCAAAAAAAACGGCCACAUUUAAUUUAUGGGAAUCGAUUAGGUGAUAGUUUCAAAAACUACCACUAAACAUCCUGCGGAGGUUUGAAACCCCGUAAAUGGACCCGAAACCGCUGCUUAAAGACAUGAUUUUUUGUAGUGAAACAAAAAUACUAUAACAUAUGUUGUUUGACUUUUUUAAUAA